AUUACAUACAUUGCUGUAACACAGAACACAUAUGAUGCGGAUGAUUGGUACGUGUGGUUUGUGCUUGUCCUGGGUGCGCUCCUGCUUUUGGGCAUCUUGGCAUAUCUGCUGUAUAGAUGCUGCAGAUAUCUCUCUACUAAAGAGUGUAAUUGCUCCUGCGAUUGCUGUGAACCCAAACACAUGGAGGAUGAAGACACCCUCAUUCCAUAUAAAGAUCCUCCAAAACGUGAAGUAUUGAUGGAGGUGACCAAGAUCAACACAAUAUUUGAUGGAGAGGAAGUCGAUCCAGGUGAUGGUUCAUUUGCCAUUGAACCAACUUGGUUAUAUGUUUCGACAUGGCAUCAAGUAUUAAUGACAAUCUCUGGUGUGUUCGUUUCCAGUUACGAAGAGGGUGUAUGAAUACAACAGCAAGUCUGGUGCCCGCCGCUGGAAGGACGCCAUUAUUAUGACUGGCCUGCCACAGACACAACCAGGCAGCAGCACUCUGGUAAUCUCCCAGAAGGCUGGCACUCCUGAGCAGCCACCAGGAACUGCCCAGUCACAAACAUCAAAUGCUGAGAGGCUGGGCUCUGCCCAGUCAGUGGACUGGCCGGGCGACAGGGUGCAGACCUCACAAAACCAUCUGCAAACCUUAAGUGAUAGACCAAACGUUAAGCCAGGCACUGUCCCCAUGACAGCUGAGGGUAUGUCAGAGGUGUAGGGCAAAAAUAGUUUGUACAGCAGAGGAAUUAGUCAAGUAUUGUCCAACGUGACAAAAGUCACUCUGCGUUUGAAUUAUUGCUAUUCAUCAUAUUAUUAUACUGGCAAAGUUUUGCUUGUAACUACAAAUGAGAAAAUUAUCUGGUUAAAUUAAUACAAAUGGUACUUGAGGUGUCUUAAAUUUCUUUUCAGGUUUAAAAUGCAAGUAAUUAGCAUAUUAUGAUUGAUUAUACUUAUUAUACUUUUAAUUCACAACAUUUGUGAAUUAAAAAACAUGUCACAACAAAACAGUAUGGGUUUCCAUUACUUUUCUUAGAGGAUAACUCCGUGUGUGUGAUAAAAAUAAACAGAAUUUCCAGUUUAGGAACCUGAGUAG